GCAGAUAUAGCUCAGAUGGAAAGAAGCACCACGCUACGAACGUGAUGGUCGGGGGUUCGAGUCCCUCUAUCUGCACCA
rnacentral:tRNA from 2 species